rnacentral:rRNA from 1 species
GACGAACGCUGGCGGCGUGCUUAACACAUGCAAGUCGAACGGAAAGGCCCUGCUUGCAGGGUACUCGAGUGGCGAACGGGUGAGUAACACGUGGGUUAUCUGCCCUGCACUUCGGGAUAAGCCUGGGAAACUGGGUCUAAUACCGGAUAGGAGCCAUUUUUAGUGUGAUGGUUGGAAAGUUUUUUCGGUGUAGGAUGAGCUCGCGGCCUAUCAGCUUGUUGGUGGGGUAAUGGCCUACCAAGGCGGCGACGGGUAGCCGGCCUGAGAGGGUGGACAGCCACAUUGGGACUGAGAUACGGCCCAGACUCCUACGGGAGGCAGCAGUGGGGAAUAUUGCACAAUGGGCGCAAGCCUGAUGCAGCGACGCCGCGUGGGGGAUGACGGCCUUCGGGUUGUAAACUCCUUUCGCUAGGGACGAAGCUUUUUGUGGCGGUACCUAGAUAAGAAGCACCGGCUAACUACGUG